CGAAAUUUUAAUAAAAUGUACUAGAUUACCAGAUAAUGAUACAGACGCACUUUCAAGUAUGUUGAUGUCAUGGUAUAUUAGUGGUUUUCACACAGGUUAUUAUCAUGGUUUGAAACAAGCAAGAAACAAUCAAGAGAACAGGAAGAAGUGUUGAUUAUAUCAAUUUUUUCAAUAACAAUAUAACGAUAAUAUAAGAUAUAAUAAAAUAUAAAACUCAUUGUAUUUAUUUACUUCAAUUAUUUGAAAUAAAGAACAGCUUUAUUUUCAUAUAA